CCUACGGGAGACAGCAGUAGGGAAUCUUCCACAAUGGACGAAAGUCUGAUGGAGCAACGCCGCGUGCGUGAAGAAGGGUUUCGGCUCGUAAAGCUCUGUUGGUAGUGAAGAAAGUUAGAGGUAGUAACUGUCCUUUAUUUGACGGUAAUUACUUAGAAAGUCACGGCUAACUACGUGCCAGCAGCCGCGGUAAUACGUAGGUGGCAAGCGUUGUCCGGAUUUAUUGGGCGUAAAGCGAGUGCAGGCGGUUCAAUAAGUCUGAUGUGAAAGCCCUCGGCUCAACCGGAGAAUUGCAUCAGAAACUGUAGAACGUGAGUGCAGAAGAGGAGAGUGGAACGCCAGGUGUAGCGGUGAAAUGCGUAGAGAUCAGGAGGAACACCGGUGGCGAAGGCGGCCUGCUGGACUGCAACUGACGUUGAGGCCCGAAAGCGUGGGGAGCAAACAGGAUUGGAUACCUUUGUAGUC
rnacentral:rRNA from 1 species